rnacentral:rRNA from 1 species
UACGUAGGGUGCGAGCGUUGUCCGGAAUUAUUGGGCGUAAAGAGCUUGUAGGCGGUUUGUCGCGUCUGCUGUGAAAAUCCGGGGCUCAACCCCGGACUUGCAGUGGGUACGGGCAGACUAGAGUGUGGUAGGGGAGACUGGAAUUCCUGGUGUAGCGGUGAAAUGCGCAGAUAUCAGGAGGAACACCAGUGGCGAAGGCGGCACUCUGGGCCGGUACUGACGCUGAGGAGCGAAAGCGUGGGGAGCGAACAGG